rnacentral:rRNA from 1 species
GUGGGGAAUAUUGCACAAUGGGCGCAAGCCUGAUGCAGCCAUGCCGCGUGUAUGAUGAAGGCCUUCGGGUUGUAAACUUCUUUUGGAGGGGACGAAUAAAUUGACGGUACCCUCAGAAAAAGCCACGGCUAACUACGUGCCAGCAGCCGCGGUAAUACGUAGGUGGCGAGCGUUACUCGGAAUUACUAGGCGUAAAGCGUAUGUAGGCGGUUGUAUAAGUCUAUGGUGAAAUUUCCUGGCUCAACUGGGAAGGGACAUAGAUACUGUAUGGCUUGAGUGUUGGAGGGGGAGACGGAAUUCCUGGUGUAGCGGUGAAAUGCGUAGAUAUCAGGAGGAACACCGAUGGCGAAAGCAGUCUCCUGGCCAAAUACUGACGCUGAGGUACGAAAGCUAGGGUAGCAAACAGGAUUAGAUACCCCGGUAGUCC